GGCGGACGGGUGAGUAACGCGUAAAGAACUUGCCCUUUAGACUGGGAUAACAGAGGGAAACUUCUGAUAAUACUGGAUAAGUUAGUAUAUCGCAUGAUAUGCAAAUGAAAGCUACGGCACUAAAGGAGAGCUUUGCGUCCUAUUAGCUAGUUGGUAAGGUAAGAGCUUACCAAGGCGAUGAUAGGUAGCCGGCCUGAGAGGGUGGACGGCCACAAGGGGACUGAGAUACGGCCCUUACUCCUACGGGAGGCAGCAGAU
rnacentral:rRNA from 1 species